rnacentral:lncRNA from 1 species
CAUAAUCUUCAACCCCCAUUGAUUUCAACAAUGUCUUCACAAUUUUAGCAUCCCUCGGUAACUCCUCGUCUCCCUCAGACAUUUUCUUACUACCCUUCAACUGCACAAGAAAUUUAUAUCACUUUUAAACUGAUGUUCCAAACAUGAUCUUUUUUAUAUCACACGUCUGAUAAUUAUGAAGUGAGCAUUGCUUUGGAGACGAAGCUAAGUGCUAUAUAUAUAUAAAACAAGAAUGCAAAAACAUAAGAAUACACAAUUCAACUGUGACAAUUUAUUACCAACGAUUUCUAAGUAAACUACCAAAUAAAAGAGGCGCCGAACUCAUGGUUAAGUGUGGCAUUCGCAGCUAAAUUAAAGUGACCAUUUGAAUUAAGCCACUUCUGCCUGAGAGGAGAACUGACGCGGCCUCUAAAGGUCGCCGGAGAUGCAUUGCAUGGAGGGAAGGAUCCCCGAGAAGGAGAUGAAUUGUAAAGGGGAAAAGGGGGGUCGACGGCAGUGACUGAGAGAA